GACGAACGCUGGCGGCGUGCUUAACACAUGCAAGUCGAGCGGUAAGGCCCUUUCGGGGGUACACGAGCGGCGAACGGGUGAGUAACACGUGGGUGACCUGCCCUCAGCUCUGGGAUAAGCCCGGGAAACUGGGUCUAAUACCGGAUAUGACUCCAUGACGCAUGUUGUGGGGUGGAAAGCCUUGUGCGGCUGAGGAUGGGCCCGCGGCCUAUCAGCUUGUUGGUGGGGUGAUGGCCACCAAGGCGACGACGGGUAGCCGGCCUGAGAGGGCGACCGGCCACACUGGGACUGAGAUACGGCCCAGACUCCUACGGGAGGCAGCAGUGGGGAAUCUUGCGCAAUGGCGAAAGCCUGACGCAGCGACGCCGCGUGAGGGAUGACGGCCUCGG
rnacentral:rRNA from 1 species